UAAUACAGAGGGUGCGAGCGUUAAUCGGAAUUACUGGGCGUAAAGGGUGCGUAGGUGGUUGCAUAAGUUAGGUGUGAAAGUCCCGGGCUUAACCUGGGGAUUGCGCCUAAGACUGUGUAGCUAGAGUACUGUAGAGGGAGGUGGAAUUUCCAGUGUAGCGGUGAAAUGCGUAGAUAUUGGAAGGAACAUCGGUGGCGAAGGCGACCUUCUGGACAGAUACUGACACUGAGGCACGAGAGCAUGGGGAGCAAACAGGAUUAGAUACCCUGGUAGUCCAUGCCGUAAACGAUGAGAACUGGCUGUUGGAUAUCUUCGGAUAUUUAGUAGCGAAGCUAACGCGUUAAGUUCUCCGCCUGGGGAGUACGGCCGCAAGGUUA
rnacentral:rRNA from 1 species